rnacentral:lncRNA from 1 species
GCCGAGGCGCGCUGUCCGGGUGGUGGGAGCUCAACCCGCGACCGCGGCUACGAUUCUCUUGGCUCCUGCCCUCGCCUUAGUCGCUCUGCGGGGUUGGUUCGGUCCCGGCACUUCCAGAGGCCUCAGGGUCCUGGUCUUGUAGAGACUUCCUGAACGGUGGCGCCUGUUCCAGUGUGUGUGCGCUAACUGCCUGUUCUGUGCCAGCCGCGCGUGGCCGAAGGGCGGGAGGACGGGGGUUGUGGAGGGGAGGAUGGAGGUUGGGGAGACAGGGCGGGGACGAGAUAAGAGGUCGGGGGGUGGGGAGGAUGGUCGCGGGGCGGUCUGGGGCUGGAGACAAGGGGCCUGAGGUGCGGGUACGCACUGAACAUUCCAACCGUCCCCAGCCGGCCGGGUUUCAGGUUUGAAAAGGUGGGAAGGUUAGCUGUCCUGGCGCUUUUCCUCCACGUGUUGUGCGGCUCCGCUGGAGUUCGGGUCCAGCACCUUCUACUCCGAGGGAGAGAGCCGCGGGGAGAGCCCUGUUCGGGCCCGCGGCUCGAACUGACCGCCGGCUCUGCCGAGCAGCCUCGACCCCAGGGCACCCCCGGGAGAGAGGGCGCGGCUCAGGUCCCUGCCCGAACCCCUGGGGUGCUGAGAGACUCCCCAGCGCCCCGCGUGGGCUCCCGGCCUCUCCACAGUUGAGGAUCCUGUAAGGGGCGAGCCCUUUUUCCCAUAAUGGCUGUAGUGAGUGGGUGUGCUUUCCCGAUUGACCCGCUGUGAGAAAUGUGGUUUACAGCUUCUAUCAGGAUUAGCUUCAGCUUCAAGUGACAAAAGUCACUUGAAAUAUGAGUUGCUGAAACAAGAUGGCAGUCUCUCCCCUCAACAGGACUGUUACAACACCUUAUCUUCAGAGAACCAGGCUCUCUGCAACAUUUCAGGGACGUCGUUCAGUACCUUAUGUGGAAUUCAAGCUUAGCUGGGCAUCCUAUGUUUUAACUGGCUAACUCGUGGAACUCUCAACUUGGAUCAAGUGGUAGUGGAGUCCCAGGGACUCUGAGCAGCCAGUGUGUGAUACUGCAGGGCAGCACACCCUGGGGAGGCCAACUGUACAGAAUAAAAUUAAUGCUUUC